ensembl:misc_RNA Metazoa_SRP Metazoan signal recognition particle RNA
GCCGGGCGCGGUGGCGCACGCCUGUAAUCCCAGCUGCCGGGAGGCUGAGGCCGCAGGACCGCUUGCGCUCGGGAGCUCUGCACGGCGGUGGGCUGUGUUGAGCGGGGGUCCGCAGCGUCAUCGGCAUCAAUAUGGUGAGCCCGAGGGAGCUUGGACUCACCAGGUUGCCUAAAGAGGGGUGAACCAACCCAGGUCGGAAACGGAGCAGGCGAAAGCCCCCGUGCUGAUGCGUGCUGGGACAGCUCCUGUGAGCAGCUGCUGUGGUGCAGCCCGGGUGACAGAGUGGGACGCGGUCUUUU